AAUGAAACAAAUUUUGCACAGCAUGAAAUUAUUCCUGCCACGUACGGCGUUCGGUGGCAGAUUUUUGAGUUUGGACCACAAACAAGGCUCGGCAGCACGGAGAGGAGGGGGCGGGGAGGAAAACACCACCAAAGGAUGCCCCUGAUGUUGCUGAUCUCUUACUCCUGCCCUACUGGUGAGGUUCAGGAUGGAAACGCUUUUAUGGCUGAGUUGGACAGUGCCUCCAGAAGAGCCAAGGACUCCAGGCCAGCACUGACUCAGGACAGUCUCCGCUGUUGGCUGUGCUAGGACCCAUCUUUCAUAAAGAGUUUGGAGGCACGUGAACAAUAUUGUUGUUUACAUUCUAUUCUGCAG
rnacentral:lncRNA from 1 species